ACAACAGUUGGAAACGACUGCUAAUACCGCAUACGAUCUAAUCUCGGCAUCGAGGAUAGAUGAAAGGUGGCCUCUACAUGUAAGCUAUCACUGAAGGAGGGGAUUGCGUCUGAUUAGCUAGUUGGAGGGGUAACGGCCCACCAAGGCGAUGAUCAGUAGCCGGUCUGAGAGGAUGAACGGCCACAUUGGGACUGAGACACGGCCCAG
rnacentral:rRNA from 1 species